GGAGCAUAUACAUAUAUGUGUAUGUGUGUGUGUAUAUAUGUAUCUAGCAGCAUCCCUUCUCUCGAGAGGAUGCGGGAUGCUGUUGAAAUGAUAAAUGAUCAGGCCUUAACCGAGUACAAUUGGCGAAAUGCUCUUGUUGUUUACAUUGCAUUAUUCCCAUUGGAUAUUGAAGAAGGUGGUGGAGAUCAAACGGAAUCCAAUGGAAGGAUUUAUUGGUGUUUAUAAGAGAGUUUUUAUUUCUUGCACCAGAUGGCGUUAAAGGAAAUCCUGGGAUUACCUCACCUUCGUUUCGAAUAGAAGAUUAGAAACCCCAAAGAAUUGUAACCUGUUUUCUUCUUCUUCUUCUUUUUUCUUUCUUUCCGUGGAAGUUUCAGUCCUUGAGAAAGUGAAAUUUAAAUCCAGCAACCGGAGAUGUGUGCAUCGGUGCGAUUGUUAGCUUAACAAAUAGUCGGUGCGAAGUAGCCCUCUUUCAAUCGUAACUUAGCCCCGGGGUUUAUAUAGUUUUAUAUUAAGUCAUUGUAUCGAUAGAAGCGAAAACGCGAGGAGAAAUUUUUCCGAUUUUCCGCUAAUUUCCCGCGAAAAGGUGAAAGUUUGGUGAAGGUAAGACGACUUACUCUUCCGGACUAUUUAUAUUGUCUGAACGUCCAUAAACUCAUCGUUCCCUUAUACAAUCGUACAACGGAAAUCAAUAACUUGUUAACUGGAUGCCACGGACACUAGUCGGAUGAGAAAAUAAAUAGACCUAUUAAAUAAGCGCGGCACUUUCUCUAGAAGCAAACACUCUGCCUGGACCAUCCUGGAAUUGGUUUUAUUUUUGUAUAAUUUUAAUUUUCGCGGUGGUCAGAUGAAUUAAUGAUAAAGUAUUCCAGUGUAACAUUGUUAUUUAAAUACAGCACAUUCAUUUUAAUAUUUACAGGUCGGUCGGGAGGGGGGGAAGGAGACUUUGAAAGAGUCUCUCUCUCUCUCUCUCUCUCCCGCCCUCUUGUGCCAGUUAGCGGAAACAGUUAUCCCGACAUUAAAAGGUUGUGCCGAGUGGCUGAAAUAUGUCGCACUCGGAAAACGGCAGCAAACGUAAUUAAAAAAACAUGCAGAAUUUUGUUUUAGCCGGUUGGGUUGAUUGGUAAAGGUUUCUGCGAAAACGACCCGCCUUCCCCUGGGAUGUUUUAAUGGAAUAGCGUCAGCGGGCACAGUUCAACUUAGUGUUUAAUGCCCGGGCAAAAAGACACUUUUAAUUUCUCUUUCUCCUAAUUUGUCCGCUUUAAACGGCGAUUAAUGGAGUGAAAUGAGACUCUGUCUUAAUUCCGUCAACAGCUUGUGGCAAUGGCCGAUAAUAAAACUUAUUUUUCUGUGU
rnacentral:lncRNA from 1 species